UGGAUUUUGUUUCAGGUUUGUAACAGUAAAGGGAACUGUCACUGUGAUAUGGCCUGGGCUCCUCCAUUCUGUAAUGUCACAGGUUCAGGUGGCAGUAUUGACAGUGGACCCGUAGAGGACACCAGAUCAGCUCCAUCACCUGAGACAAAAGGAACUAAGCCAAGCAUCCCCACAUUGCCAAGUACGACCCAAACAUCAGACACACUCAGUACCUGGACUUGGAUUGUGCCAAUGGCUGUGCUGCUUCUGUU